rnacentral:rRNA from 1 species
AUGAGCGCUAGCGACAGGCCUAACACAUGCAAGUCGAGGGGCAGCACAAGGAGCAAUCUGAGGUGGCGACCGGCGCACGGGUGAGUAACACGUAUGCAACCUGCCUGUAAGCGGGGAAUAACCCGUUGAAAGACGGACUAAUACCGCAUAAUACUAAAUUACUGCAUGGUAAUUUAUUUAAACAUUUAUGGCUUACAGAUGGGCAUGCGCAUGAUUAGCUAGUUGGAGAGGUAACGGCUCCCCAAGGCAACGAUCAUUAGGGGUUCUGAGAGGAAGGUCCCCCCACACUGGUACUGAGACACGGACCAGACUCCUACGGGAGGCAGCAGUGAGGAAUAUUGGUCAAUGGACGAGAGUCUGAACCAGCCAAGUCGCGUGCAGGAAGAAUUGUCCUAUGGAUUGUAAACUGCUUUUGCAGGGGAAUAAAGUGCAUCACGUGUGAUGUUUUGUAUGUACUCUGCGAAUAAGGAUCGGCUAACUCCGUGCCAGCCGCAGC